CCGCCAGAGUAUUACGAGCAAUAGCUUAAAACUCAAAGGACUUGGCGGUGCCCAAACCCCUCCAGAGGAGCCUGUUCUAUAAUCGAUAACCCACGUUUAACCUCACCACCAUUUGAUAACUCAGCCUAUAUACCACCGUCACCAGCUUGCCUUAUGAGAGAACUACAGCAAGCAAAAACGAAACUUCCAAAUACGCCAGGUCAAGGUGUAGCAUAUAUGGUGGGAAGAAAUGGGCUACAUUUUCUUAUAAAGACCAUACGAAUGAUAAAAUGAAACCAUAUCUAAAGGCGGAUUUGGCAGUAAGAAUGGACAAUUAUACCAUCCUUAAUUUUUGGCCCUGGGGCGCGC
rnacentral:rRNA from 1 species